AGCUUUUAUUGUUAAAUAUGCUAGUCCUUUCAUGAUUAUGUGAUAGGUGGUGCAUGGCCGUUCUUAGUUCGUGGAGUGAUCUGUCUGCUUAAUUGCGUUUCACUAUAAGGAUCUAUAUUCUUUACAGUGUGCAGUGCAUUGACCCCUUCUUCGGAAGCGUGUGUCUUUACGCUCACACUUCAUUAGGUCCUGAAAGCAACGAACGUGACCGCAACCUCUUGUUGCCUCUGUGCUCCUACACGCUCAAUGCGCUAAACACUGGUUUUCUUAGCUUAGUGCGUUGGUUGAGGCUUUCUUAAACUAGAGGGACCGCUGUCAACUUCUUAAACCAGAGGAAGGUUGCGGCAAUAACAGGUCUGUGAUGCCCUUAGAUGUUCCGGGCUGCACACGUGCUACAAUGAUUGUUGCAGUGAGCAUCUCAAUUCUUUACCACACCGCACACGUGAGUCUUUAACGUUUUGUUAAUGCACUUUACGCAGCGGUAACGCCUGCUUCGAGAGCAAGUGGGUAAUCAAUUAGAAGUAACGAUUUCCCAAGUUAGCACACUUAUAUACGGCGUUUAUGCCCGGGUUUCACUCGUUGAUUCCUUUGUGCGCGUAGAUGGAUUCUUCCGUAUGUGCAAUUGUCAAUUCAUGG
rnacentral:rRNA from 1 species